rnacentral:piRNA from 1 species
CACGAUGAUUUUCUUCGCCGGGCGUCUC